UAGAGUUCUAACAAACUCCCAACCCGUGUGAACCUUACCUCCAGUUGCCUCGGCAGGUCGCGCCAGCCCGAGGGGUCGUCCCCCGCAGCCUAGCAUCAAGCCUAGCUAUGGGACACCCCCCGGGGGGGCGCGGUUGAAGCCUGCCGGCGGACCCUCGAACGCUGUUUAUUAUUGGAAUUCUGAACCUAUAACUUAAUGAGUUA
rnacentral:misc_RNA from 1 species